rnacentral:misc_RNA from 1 species
CCUUAUCAUUUUUGAGGAAGGAGAAGUCGUAACAAGGUUUCCGUAGGUGAACCUGCGGAAGGAUCAUUGUCGAUACCUGCCCAGCAGAACGACCUGUGAACAUGUAAUAACCUUCUGGGUGGGGGUGUAAUGCCCCCUCCCAAAAAACGGUUGGGAGGGCACGUUGAGAUAUGCCCACCGCUCCUCGUGUGUGGUUGGUCAAUCUUCUCGUUCCCUUCCCGAUCGAACAAUGAACCCCGGCGCGGUCUGCGCCAAGGAACUUAAACAAGGAGUAACCACGGGCGCCCCGGAAACGGUGUGCGCGUUGUUGGUGACAUCUUUACCAUGAUACAUAACGACUCUCGGCAACGGAUAUCUCGGCUCUCGCAUCGAUGAAGAACGUAGCGAAAUGCGAUACUUGGUGUGAAUUGCAGAAUCCCGCGAAUCAUCGAGUCUUUGAACGCAAGUUGCGCCCGAAGCCAUUCGGCCGAGGGCACGUCUGCCUGGGUGUCACGCAUCGUUGCCCCAACCCCAAACACUUCUUAUGAUGUGUGGGGUGCGGGGAAGACAUUGGCCUCCCGUGUGCUUCUGCUCGCGGUUAGCCUAAAAGUGAGUCCUAGGCGACGAGCGCCACGACAAUCGGUGGUUGAGAAACCCUCGUGACCCGUCGUGUGUUGCCCGUCGCUGUGAAGGUGCUCCUCGACCCUAUUGCGUCGUUCCUGCGACUCUACCAUCGCGACCCCAGGUCAGGCGGGAUUACCCGCUGAAUUUAAGCAUAUCAUAAAGCCGGAGGA